UACGGAGGAUGCGAGCGUUAUCCGGAUUUAUUGGGUUUAAAGGGUGCGUAGGCGGCUUAGUGAGUCAGCGGUGAAAUUUUGCAGCUUAACUGUAACAGUGCCGUUGAUACUGCCAGGCUAGGAUUUGGUUGCUGUGGGUGGAAUGUGUGGUGUAGCGGUGAAAUGCUUAGAUAUCACACAGAAUAUCGAUUGCGAAGGCAGCUCACAAAGCCAAGAUUGACGCUGAGGCACGAAAGUGUGGGGAUCAAACA
rnacentral:rRNA from 1 species